rnacentral:rRNA from 1 species
UACGUAGGUGGCAAGCGUUGUCCGGAUUUACUGGGCGUAAAGAGCGCGCAGGCGGUCGGAUAAGUCGAAUGUGGAAAGCCCCCGGCUCAACUGGGGAGGGUCAUUCGAUACUGAUCGACUCGAAGGCAGGAGAGGGUAGUGGAAUUCCCGGUGUAGUGGUGAAAUGCGUAGAUAUCGGGAGGAACACCAGUGGCGAAGGCGACUACCUGGCCUGUUCUUGACGCUGAGGCGCGAAAG